UUUUAUGGCUACUUUAAUCCAAAUAACUAAUCCUGACUUAGUGGAUCAAGAUAAAACCACAAUCUAUAGUUGCUUCUUUAACAAAUACCAUAUUGGGACAGUCAUUUGCCCACUCAUGGAUUUUCUGACUUCUUUAUUAUCAGAUGUUAACCAGAAAUGAAAAAAAAAAAAAAGUCAAGAAGAAGCUUAUACUUGAUUUUGGACCUUGGACAAAUCCAACAAUAUUCAGAAAAGGAAGAUUUGAAGUAGCAGAAGGGGAAAGCCCCCCGCUUCUUGGUGUGCCUCCUGAUUUUUAAUAAUACCACAGACUUUGCCUUGCAGUGAACCAGUUCCACAAGGAGAUUGCCACAUCAGAUUAUAUGGCUUUGUCAGUGUUUGUUAUUUGCCUUAUCACAGAGCUUUAGAUGUGUAUCCAGUGUAUGUGCAUCUGUGUAUCAGGACACCGAUUCUCACGCCAUGCGAGUUAUAGCCAUUUAAUUGUAUUUUAUAUGGUAUCAAACUUUCUGCCAAAAUCUGGUGUCGGAAUGUUUUUCGUUGUUAUGGGUCUAUCAACAUUACAUCAUUUACUGACUGCAUCAUGUGUGACACACAUGUCUGUGCUUAACCUUUACAGUUGGGAUAUCUGAGCCUGCUUUAAUCAAAUGUUACACUGCCAAAUGAGUGUUAUUCUUUAAAGCUUCCUUGCUGAGGAAACAGGUCUGAGUUUUUGUACGCCCACCCAUUAGAGGUUGCUAUCAAAUGCAAAAGAACUUAAUUAGCAACAAAUUGAUAUUUAGCUGAGCCCAAAAUUUAGGCUUGGUUGCCUUUUUCCUAUUAGCU
rnacentral:lncRNA from 1 species